rnacentral:sRNA from 1 species
AUUGCAGCCAGAGUGGAAGCAGCCCCUUCCAGCAGACCCUGACCACCUUCCAGCGCGCACUCACCACCAUGCAGAUCCAGGUCGCGGGGCUGCUGCAGUUUGCCGUGCCCCUCUUCUCCACUGCAGAGGAAGACCUGCUUGCAAUCCAGCUCCUGCUGAACUCCUCAGAGUCCAGCCUUCACCAGCUGACCGCCAUGGUGGACUGCCGAGGGCUGCACAAGGUGCAUGGGGACCCUGGGGGCACGUGGAGAGUGUGAGAGCACCCAGCAGGCCACACCUUCCAGAGAAAAGUGGGUAGAGGCCGAGGGGGGUGAUGGCCUGGGUCCCCUUCCGGCCCAGGAAUGGAACUGAAGCCAGAUAAUGGGAAGGGAGGGGGUGCCUGGCCUCUCCAGGGUCUGAGACAGGGAGACUCAGUACAAGGGACCAGGGGUUCGGGAUGGGAGGGUGGGAUGCGGUUGGCUCUGGAUCACUGGGGGACCCUGAACAAUGCAAGGGAGGCUGUUCCCCAUUGUUCAGACUCCUGGCCAUUUCCUCAACACAUCUGUCUCCCUGGGUUGCAAGUGGAUGUCCCAAUCCCAUUGCCAGAGUCUUCUU